UACGGGGGGGGGCAAGCGUUGUUCGGAAUUACUGGGCGUAAAGGGCUCGUAGGCGGCCAACUAAGUCAGACGUGAAAUCCCUCGGCUUAACCGGGGAACUGCGUCUGAUACUGGAUGGCUUGAGGUUGGGAGAGGGAUGCGGAAUUCCAGGUGUAGCGGUGAAAUGCGUAGAUAUCUGGAGGAACACCGGUGGCGAAGGCGGCAUCCUGGACCGGCAUUGACGCUGAGGCGCGAAAGCCAGGGGAGCAAACGGGG
rnacentral:rRNA from 1 species